rnacentral:rRNA from 1 species
UAGUGGCGAACGGGUGAGUAACACGUGAGUAACCUGCCCCUGACUCUGGGAUAAGCGUUGGAAACGACGUCUAAUACUGGAUAUGACUGCCGGCCGCAUGGUCUGGUGGUGGAAAGAUUUUUUGGUUGGGGAUGGACUCGCGGCCUAUCAGCUUGUUGGUGAGGUAAUGGCUCACCAAGGCGACGACGGGUAGCCGGCCUGAGAGGGUGACCGGCCACACUGGGACUGAGACACGGCCCAGACUCCUACGGGAGGCAGCAGUGGGGAAUAUUGCACAAUGGGCGAAAGCCUGAUGCAGCAACGCCGCGUGAGGGAUGACGGCCUUCGGGUUGUAAACCUCUUUUAGUAGGGAAGAAGCGAAAGUGACGGUACCUGCAGAAAAAGCACCGGCUAACUACGUGCCAGCAGCCGCGGUAAUACGUAGGGUGCAAGCGUUGUCCGGAAUUAUUGGGCGUAAAGAGCUCGUAGGCGGUUUGUCGCGUCUGCUGUGAAAUCCCGAGGCUCAACCUCGGGCUUGCAGUGGGUACGGGCAGACUAGAGUGCGGUAGGGGAGAUUGGAAUUCCUGGUGUAGCGGUGGAAUGCGCAGAUAUCAGGAGGAACACCGAUGGCGAAGGCAGAUCUCUGGGCCGUAACUGACGCUGAGGAGCGAAAGCGUGGGGAGCGAACAGGAUUAGAUACCCUGGUAGUCCACGCCGUAAACGUUGGGCGCUAGAUGUAGGGACCUUUCCACGGUUUCUGUGUCGUAGCUAACGCAUUAAGCGCCCCGCCUGGGGAGUACGGCCGCAAGGCUAAAACUCAAAGGAAUUGACGGGGGCCCGCACAAGCGGCGGAGCAUGCGGAUUAAUUCGAUGCAACGCGAAGAACCUUACCAAGGCUUGACAUACACCGGAAACGGCCAGAGAUGGUCGCCCCCUUGUGGUCGGUGUACAGGUGGUGCAUGGUUGUCGUCAGCUCGUGUCGUGAGAUGUUGGGUUAAGUCCCGCAACGAGCGCAACCCUCGUUCUAUGUUGCCAGCGCGCUAUGGCGGGGACUCAUAGGAGACUGCCGGGGUCAACUCGGAGGAAGGUGGGGAUGACGUCAAAUCAUCAUGCCCCUUAUGUCUUGGGCUUCACGCAUGCUACAAUGGCCGGUACAAAGGGCUGCGAUACCGUAAGGUGGAGCGAAUCCCAAAAAGCCGGUCUCAGUUCGGAUUGAGGUCUGCAACUCGACCUCAUGAAGUCGGAGUCGCUAGUAAUCGCAGAUCAGCAACGCUGCGGUGAAUACGUUCCCGGGCCUUGUACACACCGCCCGUCAAGUCAUGAAAGUCGGUAACACC